rnacentral:lncRNA from 1 species
AGAUCUAUUUUUGAUGAAAACUUCUUUUGAUCUUCUGAAAAAUAGAAAAUGAACUAUUGCAUAUCUCUCAUAUUUUUCAGUCGUACAUACUAUGCUUGAUAUGUUCUUAUGAAAAUAAUGCCAAAUCUGAUAAAGAUAUUUCUAUCUUUGGAUAUCAUUCAUCAAGCAAUGCAUAUAGAACAUUCAAUGAAAAGAUUCGAGUUGUAGAAAUAUCAAUUCAU